rnacentral:rRNA from 1 species
UGGGGAAUAUUGGACAAUGGGCGAAAGCCUGAUCCAGCCAUGCCGCGUGUGUGAAGAAGGUCUUCGGAUUGUAAAGCACUUUAAGUUGGGAGGAAGGGCAGUAAGUUAAUACCUUGCUGUUUUGACGUUACCGACAGAAUAAGCACCGGCUAACUCUGUGCCCG